ensembl:lncRNA
CUUCGGUAACAUGGGGUCCCCCACUGUCUCCUUGGCAUGAAUCUUUACCUCCCUCAUGGUAGCCAGCACAGAACAUGUGACUGUAGAUGCUGAACUUUGGUGGAUCGAAGACACGUGGCUCGGUCAACAAGUGGAACUUUCAGCCUCAGAAGAAUUUUCAUAGUUCGUAUUGGAAAAAAUAGUCUCAGCACGGGUGAGCUUCUUAGAAAUAUGUGAGACAGAGACUCGUCCACAGGGAAAUGGCACUAGACAAAUGGAAAAAAAAAUUAGUACUCUAGUAUUUCUCAUUGGCUAGCAGACAAAAGUCUGGCCCAUCCUUGUCAUGUCUGAGAAGCAAGCCCAUUGAUAGUUUUUAAAAAAUUGAAUCAAUGAAUAUAGUCUCAAACUAAGAGGUUAAUUGCAUUAUUUCCAUGGAAAAGUUUUCAAACGCUUCAUGAAAAGGCCAUUUGGCUCAGGAAUCUGUCAUCUUUACAGAAACAGAAGAGGUGUUCCCAAAUCAAAUUUCCUAAGACUUUAUCUUCCCUGGUGGCUCAGACAGAAAAGUGUCUGCCUACAAUGCGGGAGACCCGGGUUCAAUCCCUGAGUUGGGAAGAUGUCCUGGAGAAGGAAAUGGCAACCCACUCCAGUAUUCUUGCCUGGAAAAUCCCAUGGAUGGAAGAGCCUGGUAGGCUACAGUCCAUGGGGUCACAAAGAAUCAGACACGACUGAGAGACUUCACUUUCACUUAUAUGAAGUCCAAUGACUUCCUGUUUCUUUAUGAAAAAGUUUUGUUUCCAGGUACUGUCCUUGAAUGGAAGUCUGGGGAUUGGUGCCAUAUAACCUUGAUUUUAGAAUUUGGUAAAUGGGAUGUCUACUCCUUAUUGUUAACAAGAUUUCAUUUUUGAGGCCACACUGCAUGGCUUUUGGGAUUUUAGUUUCCUAACCAGGGAUCAAACCCAGGCCUCUGGCAGUGAGAAUGCAGAGUCCUGCGCACUGGACUGCCGGGAAUUUCCAGGACUUCUUUUGUAGACCAAAAUGCCUUCAAAAAAUCCAUUGGGGAGAGGUCAUUGUGAUUUAAUUACCUGGCUGUUGAGUAUUAACUAAAUAAAUUAUUAAUAUGAUUAUAACCACCACAUCUACCUGGGCACUGGCUACCUUUUACCUUGGGUUGGUUUAUUUCCUAAAGAAAAGAAGUCAUCUACUGAUACACUGGGGACAAGCAGAAUGGAAAUUUGUAGUCAAGCAAAAUCACUUCACAUUUCAUUUCUCACUUUCCUUUUAUCCACAUUCCUUAUAACAGACAUUUCUAUAGCAACCAGCUGUGGCAAAGUAUCAUGAAGACAGCAUGUGGUUGGGAAAACAGGAAAUUAGUUCAAAAUACUUAUGUAUAAAUAUAAAUCAUCAACAUUGGCUCAAGAAAAGGGACCAUUACUAUUGAAAGGCAGAAAAGUUUAUUUUAGGUUUGGCUUAUUUAUUCUGCUAAAACUAAGGCUAUAUUCAGAAUAACACUUAAUAGUUGGAGGUGGUUCUCUGUUUUUUCUCUUUCUUAUAACAGAAAAGGACUUAAAACGAUUUAGCUACUAUGCUGUCUGUCUACACUGGAAGUUAGGUUUCAAAGGUAAAAACAGAUACACACAUACUUCUCCCUAGGUAGGCUAGUUUGAAGCUGUGUAUGUCAAGAACAGGUAGAAGGAUGGGAGACAGGCAGGUCUUUGAAGCAGUAGACUCUUUAUUUUAGUGCAGUCUAUAUACUCUUGUCUUCUGGUUCUUUCUUUAAUCUCCUCUGCCAGGUUCAUUGCUAAGAUAGGUAUCAAACCCAGUUACAGAGGAAUGGUGUGUGAUUUAAUGUAUCAAUUUAAUAAGCUAUCAGGCUUUGGAAAUGCAAAAGAAAUUAUAUCUAGUUUGCUUCAAAAAAGCCCUUCAUUUAUCAAAUAUAAUUGAUCCUGUGGAGCCUACAUCAAAAAAAAAAAAAAAAAAAAUCCAAGUUUCUGCUGCCCUCAUUUCCAGAGAAGAGCAGUGUGAAGAGUGGACAUGAUCUCCACACACCAGUCAGCUGUCAAUAUGGUGGCAUGGUUGACAUAACUGGGAAACAUUGCUUUGUCCACUGCUGUAUAGAUUGACUGUGCUGAUCAGCUUGACACAACUCAGAACAGAUAGUUGUCAGAACUAUUCUGAUGCCAAGCGUGUAAACUCAGGCUGAGAAUGAAGGAUAGAAAAUAACUUUCUCAGUGUAAACCAGCCAUGCUAGGACAGAUCAUGCUUAAAAUUCACCAGCCUUGUACUAGAAGCCUAUCAGUCAAGCACAUAUGUAUCUUCUAUUUUUUUAUUACAGGAUUACUACAUUAAUUUGACUUCAUGAAUUAUAGAUAUACAUGCAGAAAUCACACAAAUCAAUUGCUUCAUGAUAUAAAGGUCAAAGAAGAAAAUUGGGUGCAGAAAAGAAGAUGGAAGACAAUUACAGAAUUUCUAUUAAAAAUGAUGGUGCAAUUUGAAAAAUUAAUUUGCCCAUGCUACUAGUCUUUUC